rnacentral:rRNA from 1 species
GACGAACGCUGGCGGCGUGCUUAACACAUGCAAGUCGAACGCUGAAGCCCUUCGGGGUGGAUGAGUGGCGAACGGGUGAGUAACACGUGGGUAUUCUGCCCUGCACUCUGGGAUAAGCCUUGGAAACGGGGUCUAAUACCGGAUAGGACACGUGGCCGCAUGGUCUGCGUGUGGAAAGUUCCGGCGGUGCAGGUUGAGCCCGCGGCCUAUCAGCUUGUUGGUGGGGUGAUGGCCUACCAAGGCGACGACGGGUAGCCGGCCUGAGAGGGUGACCGGCCACACAGGGACUGACACACGGCCCAGACUCCUACGGGAGGCAGCAGUGGGGAAUCUUGCGCAAUGGGCGAAAGCCUGACGCAGCAACGCCGCGUGGGGGAUGACGGCCUUCGGGUUGUAAACCUCUUUCGACAUCGACGAAGCCUUCGGGUGACGGUAGGUGUAGAAGAAGCACCGGCUAACUACGUGCCAGCCGCCGCGGUAAAAC